UCUACUUCCAAGCUCCACCCACGUUUUAGUGUUUUACCUUUUGUUUCUUGAACAUUCUUCUCUCUAGAAAUUAACUCGAACAAAAAAUCCUUUCCUAUUCACUCGGCUAAAUCAAAUUAAAAAAAUGGAAAUCCCAUGGUAUUCUCCAUCUGUAAUUCAUAUUUAUGUCUGCCCGACUCUUCAUCUCUACGUAGCAGGGAUAGAUCUGGUUCAUUCCAAAUCGAGGCUUCUUCAAGAGACAUAAGGUUGAAAUUCAGCCUGGUGCAACUUCAUUGGUUAAAAUAACAAAAUUAAAUUACCCCAAAUUUUUUUGUUGUUUUCAUUUUGUUAUUUUGUUGUUUUCCUCAAAUUGUUUUAACAUAUUGACCUUGAUUCUAGGACUCUUUGGAUACAUAUAAUGGCUGACAAGCCCAACACUAAAGUGGAGAAAAAAGAUGAUGCGAGGAAUGUUAUACAAGUUGAAGAUUCACCUUCACCUUUUCCUAAGAGACGAAAAUUGACAUCAAAGGUAUGGAAUGAUUUUCUGAAAUUUAAGGGGCCAAAAGGAAAUUAAAUUGCAAAGUGCAAAAAUUGUCGCAAACAAUUUGUAGGAGAAAGUGGUAAAGGAACUAGCCACUUAAAUUAUCACUUGGACAGGUGUAAUGGGAAAGGUAGUAGAGACAUUGGUCAACAAAAACUAUCAAUAUCCAAAAGUUCCCCAGAGGCUACUACCAUAUUUCAAAAUCAUAAGUUUGACCAAUUGAAAAGUAUGAUGGAUUUUGCUAAAAUGGUUAUCAUGCAUAAUUAUCCUUUUAAUAUGGCUGAACAUGAAUAUUUUGAGAUAUUUUGUAAUGGUUUGCAACCAAUGUUUAAGCUUGUGUCAAGAAAUACAGUGAGGUCUGGUGUCUUUGAAGUUUACAAACGUGAGAAAGAGAAAUUACACAACCACUAGGAGAAACUUCCAGGUAAAAUCACUCUAACUACUGAUAUUUGGACAUCUAAUCAUCAAGAUAUUGGUUAUAUAUGCUUGACAUCUCAUUUUAUUGAUGAUGAUUAUGAAUUGAACAAAAAAAUAAUUGGUUACAGAUGUAUUGAAUAUCCUCAUGACGCAAAAACUCUUUUUGGAUAUAUCACUGAUAUGAUUUUGGAUUGGAAUCUGGAGAAAAAAUUGUUCGCCAUGGUGGUUGAUAAUGCUACCGUCAAUGAUGCGAUGGUAAGAAGUUUGAAAUCUGGCUUUGUGACAAGCCUGCAAUACCUUUGGAAGGUGAGUUAUUUCAUGUGCGUUGUAGUGCUCAUAUUCUUAAUUUGAUUGUGCAAGAUGGGUUAAAAGUAAUUGGAGUGUUUAUUCAUAAGGUUAAAGAAACCGUGAAGUAUUUGAAAAGGUCUCCAUAUGCAACACAAAAAUUUACUCAUGCAAAAAAAUCAACUUAGGUUGAAAGAUAAGAAAAAGGUGAAGAUGGAUUGUUCUACUUGAUGGAAUUUUACUUUUGAGAUGAUUGAAAGUGCAAUAGAGAUGAAAGAGGUGCUUUGGCGCUUAGCACAAACAGAUCGUAAUUAUAAACUCUAUCCAAGUGAAGAAGAAUGGAAAAUUGCUAAAAUUCUAUGUGAUUGCUUGAGAAUAUUUUAUGAUGCAACAAAUCAUUUUUCUGGUUCUCAUUUUCCCACAUCAAAUGUGUUCUUUUCCUAAUGUUUGUAAUAUUCAACUACAUUUAUCUAAAUGGGAAAGAAGUGAGCACGGCUUUUUGAGUAUGAUGGCUGGCCAAUGAAAUUGAAGUUUGUUAAAUAUUGGGAGGAAUGUUGUUUGGUAUUAGCAAUUGCUAUUGUUUUUUAUCCAAGAUUUAAAAUGAAUUUGGUUGAAUAUUAUUACAAUAAACUCUAUGGUGUUUAUGCUCAUACACCUGUUGAAAGAGUUCAUAAGGCAACAUUUAACUUUUUCAAUGAGCAUGAUGAUAUUUCAUCUCAAUCUGAAGUGGAAGUAAGUCAAGAAGUUGGUUCUAGCAAUGAUCAUGGAAGGGGGGCUUUUCUAGAGGACCAGCUGAGUGGGUUUGAUUCUUGGUCAAUGCAAUUUCGAUCUUCUAAUUUGUCAUGUUCUUCUCAAAAGUCAAAAUUAGAGAAGUACUUGGAGGAGCCAUUAUUUCGAAGAACUGAAAAUUUUAAAGUUCUAAAUUGAUGAAAGGUUAAUAAUGUUAAAUUCCCUACUCUUGGAAAAAUUGCUCGUGACAUAUUAGCUGUUCCACCAGCUACUAUUGCAUCUGAGGCUGCAUUUACUGUGGGAAGAAGAGUAGUUGAUUAUUUUUGUGCUUCAUUACUUCCGGAAACUGUAGAAGCUUUGGUGACCACACAAGAUCGGCUCCCUUCCCUGAAAAAGAAAAAACUUGACAUGAAUGUUACAAACAAGGCCCCACAAAAUUAAAAUAAUGUUUCUUAAUUACUAAAGUUUAUACGUGGUGGACGGGUGGGUGAUAUGAUAUGGAGAGAGAGCUCAAACUUCAAAAGCUGCGCUUGAGAAAUUUUUUUUCCUCGUUUUUGUUGCUCACUCUAUCUAUAACAUUUGUUGGAUAUGUAGUCAUUGCAAUAUUUCAUAUUUUGGUUCCUUUUAAUUUGGUAUUA